rnacentral:rRNA from 1 species
AACGAACGCUGGCGGCAUGCCUAACACAUGCAAGUCGAACGAGACCUUCGGGUCUAGUGGCGCACGGGUGCGUAACGCGUGGGAACCUGCCCUUAGGUUUGGAAUAACUCCCCGAAAGGGGUGCUAAUACCGGAUAAUGUCUUCGGACCAAAGAUUUAUCGCCUUUGGAUGGGCCCGCGUUGGAUUAGCUAGUUGGUAGGGUAAAAGCCUACCAAGGCGACGAUCCAUAGCUGGUCUGAGAGGAUGAUCAGCCACACUGGGACUGAGACACGGCCCAGACUCCUACGCGAGGCAACAGUGGGGAAUAUUGUACAAUGUGCGGAAGCCUGAUCAAGCCAUGCCGCGUGAGUGAUGAAAGCCUUAGGGUUGUAAAGCUCUUUUACCCGGGAUGAUAAUGACAGUACCGGGAGAAUAAGCUCCGGCUAACUCCGUG